rnacentral:lncRNA from 10 species
CUUCAGGACUGAUAAUUAAGAGGACCUGAGAACCUUGCUGCCCAUGGUAUGGUUUCGGUUGGGGGAAAAAAAAAGUGCUGUAAUGCACAAAUUCUUGUUGAUGGCUCUGUAUUAGUUUCCUAAGACUUGCCAGAACAAAGUACCACAGACUGGGUGGCCUAAACAACAGAAGGGUAUUGUCUCACAGUUCUGGAAGCUAGAAGUGCAAAGUCAAUGUGUCAGCAGGAUUGGUUCCUUUUGGGACAUGUGAGAAUUUGUUCAGUGUGUCUCUUCUGGCUUCUGGUGGCCUCAGGUGUUCUUUGGCUUAUAGAUGUUGUUCUCUGUGUCUUUAUACCAUCUUUGCCCUGUAUAUGUCUGGCUCUGUUUCCAACUUUCCCCUUUUUAUGAGGACACCAGUCAUAUUGGAUUACAGCCCGCCCUAAUUACUUCAUCAUAAUUGCAUCAUCUGCAAAGAGCCUGUUUCCAAACAUGAUGGUUAAUACUGAGUGUCUACUUAAUUGGAUUGAAGGAUGCAAAGUAUUGCUCCUGGAUGUGUCUGUGAGGGUGUUGCCAAAGGAGAUUAACAUGUGGGUCAGUGGACUGGGAGAGGCAGACCCACCCUCAAUCUGAGUGGGCACCAUCUAAUCAGCUGCCAGCCAGCCAGGACAAAAGCAGGCAGAGGAACAUGGAAGGACUGGACUUACUGAGUCUUCUGGCCUCCAUCUUUCUCCAGUUCUGGAUGCUUCCUGCCCUCGAACAUCAGACUCCACAUUCUUCAGCUCUUUGACUCUUGAACAUACACCAGUGAUUUUCCAGGGACUCUCAGGCCUUUGGCCACAGACUGAAGGCUGCUCUGUCGGCUUCCCUACUUUUGAGGUUUUGGGACUCACACUGGCUUCCUUGCUCUUCAGCUUGUAGAUGGCCUAUUGAGGGACUUCGCCUUGUAAUCAGAAGCAUUACCUGCCCCAGAGGCUACCUGCCACUCAGUGAAGAUCAUAUGCCUAAGUCAUGACAUCAACAUCAAACUCUCUUCAAAUCUGGGAGAAAGGCUCAGCUCUUACAACCAGGACAAGAAGAAAUGACACCAGUAGAGAGAUCAUUUGGUGAGCAGCAGGGUUGAAAGAGCCUCAAACCAUGGAGAGAGAGCCUGGAUCUCGAGUAGAAAGGCUUCUGGCACUGAAGAAGUCAAACAGGAUCCCUGAGAGGGAAAAAGCCAGGAGCUUGGGGAAUUAUCUUCACCAAGGUCUGUCUAGAGAUGUGGUUGGCAGAUUUAUGACCCCCAAAGAUGUCUACAUCCUAAACCCAGGAAUCUUUUAGAAAAUAAAUCUUCAUUAUAUCUCCUGAAGAUAAGACACCCAUCUGUCAGUUCAUUACAGUGGUUGUAGAGAAAACAUUUGGAAGGGGUGAUUUAACAAGAAGUAAUUCUUGGCUAGUGGGAACUCCCCAACUGCAGAGAAACAGAAUGGAUUGCAUCUUGGAAAACACCAAAGUUGGAAAGAACUCAAAACCCUGCUAGAGAGGAAACCAACCUGGAAAAGCCUCCUCACACUCAGGAUAGCAUUGCUAAGGCAGCAGAUGCUGGAGAAGAGUGGACAGCUGCCAAGUAUGGGGGAACAAUAGCCAAGGUUGUAGACAUGGCAUUCUGGGGUGUGUCGACAACAGUCAUCAGUGAAUAUAUGGCAACUGGGAAAGAAUGGAUAAGCUGGGUGUUGGGAAACAACAUCAAGAACUGGAGAGAGUGUUGAAGACUUGUCCUUUCUCAGAACCCAGGUUGCUGGGCACAGGUUGCUAAGACUGAGUAAAACAAGAAAAGCAAUGGGGAACCUCACUCACAUCCAUGCUUCCUUGUCUCAUCUGUAUGUAUGAUUUUUGCACAACUUAUUUGAUACUUUGGACAUAAAGCAAGGCAGGCAGUUUUCCUGUCAGAUACCAUGGAGAGUGAAUACUUUGAAUAUUUUCCUUUGGAUAUUGUGAGCAAUUUUCAACAGCAAUUAUUUAAAAUAUUUAUGAAAAAAACUGGAUAAGUCUGUCAUCUGAAAAACAUGUAGGUAGGUAUCAAAAUGUCUGUUUCUGGAGAUUGAGUCUCAUACCAGAAAAAUCCCCCAAAACAAUUGGAUGGCCUGCAUCAAAGCUAUUUAAAAAAUCCAGAUAGAAAGUGCUCCAGGAAUAUCUAAGUAAGGAGAAUAGGAGAAGAGCCAAGAGAGGAGGAGAAAGGGAAAAUGAGGAAGAAGUAGAAGGAGAAAGAAAGAGAAAGACCUAGAGAGACAGGGAGACGUAGUUGGCCACACACAGCAAGAGACCAGUGAUGACAGUGAGGCAGACAUUGGGGCCAUGGGGAGUUGUGUGAGCUACAGAAUGCCUGGCUCUGCUCUGAACAAGACCUGGAGGUCUUUACGUUUCUAACUGCCCGGGAGGGUGAAUGUCAACAGACUUUUGCAGAAGAACAAUGAGCUGAGAGUGAGUCUGAAUCAUUUGCCUUCCAUGUGUCAUCCAAUCACAGCUGCUAACACCUGCAGUGGCUCUGCAACCAUGAGCUGGGAAUAAUACAAAGUCAUGUUCUCACCAUACUUGCCCAGAGGACCUGGGCCUGGAUGGAAGAGCUUCAUUGUAGGAGAAGGUUAUUGACAGAUGAGAAGUAUUUAUCCAAUAUGUCUUUGUUCUAUGACUCUUAUCAGCCCAGCUAGAGGGAAGCCUUGAACAACCAGUCUCCUGUUCCUGGGCUCAUAUCUUUUUCUAAGCAAUAUGGCCUUCCCAGUGACAGCAUCAUCAUCCUUCUUCAUCACCACCACUAUCAUCAUCCUCAUCACCAUCAUUAUCCCCAUCAUCAGAGCAGCUACUCGUUAUUGAGCAUUUACUAUGUGCUGGAUAUAUACAUAUAUAUAUAUAUAAUCUGGAAAAUAACUGUGUGAGGGAGGCCCUAUAUACAUCCCAGUUUUGCAGUUUUGCAUAACGCAGGCUCAAAAAGUUAAGUAACUUUCCCAAGAACAAACAGCUGCUAUAUCAGAAGCAAGGCUCAUAUCCAUAGCUUUUCUAGUCCAAAGACUCUAGAACAAGCUAAAUAAAAUGAACAAAUGGGGUCUUCUAUAUCAGUUUGUCCAUGACUCUCCACCACUGCUGCACCCCACCUAUUUCAGAUCCAGGGACAUUGCCAAGUGACAAUGGGGGCUCCUUCCCUAAGAGAUUGAUUGGCUUAUAGAAAAGUUUGAAUGAAUCCAAUUCUAUUGUAUAUGAAUGUUCUUCACAUUAGGAGUCCAUGUACUUUCUCAUCCCCUAAUUUACCUGUACCCUCAUCCAUUUGGCAAAUAGUUAUGGAGUGUCUAUUUUGUGUCUGACACUAUUUUAGGUGUUAAGAAUAGGGUGUGAACAAAACAUACCAAGCUUAUACUUUAGAGAAGGGAGAUCAAUAUGUAAUAUGAAAACAGAAAUAAUUCUAUGAAGAACAAAAAAUGUAAGAGUAUAGAAAGCAAUGGGAGGUGGUGAGGGUGAGCGACAGCUCUCUGAUGAACAGAAGCCUGAACACAGUGAGGGCUGAGCUAUGAGUGUAUGUGAGAGAGGUUCAGUGCUGGCUUAAAGAAGAGCAAGUGCAAAGCCCCCAGCCUAACAAGAGCAUCCCUGGUGUGCUGCAGGAACAGUGAGGGCACCAAUAUUGCUGGUGAAAAGAUGAAGUCAAAGCAGGCACCAGAUAAUUUAAGACUUUGGAGGGUCUGAUGCGGAUUUGGAAUUUUAGUUUGCCAUAUCAAGUUAUUGGAUAAGAGAGCCAUGUUUAGAUUUACAUAUGACAACAAUCUCCCUGGCUCCAGCAAGAAUGCUGUGUAAAGGACUCACUCUGGAGACUAAACUGUAUGUGAAAUUUAGGACUCCUCUGGCCACGACUGGGUAACAAGCCAUGGAGACUUGGAGUAGAUGGUGGUAGAGGAUAGGGGAGCAGUUGUCAAACUCUGGAAAUCCUCUGAUCAGUUGGAUGUGCAGAGUGAGAGAAAAGAGAAAAAUGAAGGAUUACUUCCAGUGAGGCAUGAGACAGCCAUAGAGUGCAAUAUCCCAGAAACCAGGGGAAGAUAGGCAUCAAGGAAGGAGGCACUGAAACUUUCUCAGUGCUGUUAAAAGCUGAGGCCUAGUCCCUUUGCCCAGCUGCUGAAAUCCUAGCUAAGCAAUAGGAGCCAUGUGACAGGCUAAGUGAGAAAUGGAGGAGUUUCUGCGACCAGGACGUCCUGACAUCAUGUCUUUGAGCUUGACUGAAAAAAAUGUCAAUGCUGAGAGACAUCAAGGCCAUCAAUAGCCCAUAACAAAAUUCUCAAGGCCUUGGAUAACUCUCAGGGGAUACACUCCUCCCAGAGAAAAAAGUAUGGCUGUAUGCCUCAUGACUAGUGGGACAUCACCACAGAUCCAGUGGUCAGAAUGGACCACUGAAUCUAUUUUCACUCCAAGGUGCUUUGAGUGUCAGAAUACAAGAAAAUCUUGUUGUUAUUUAGAAAUACUGUUGUUUAUUAAGAGGCUCACAUGCAGUUGGAAAAGUGGGCCAAGUCUAAAAUCUAGAACACACUGCCUGGUCAUGAGCCCAGCCCCAGGUGGGUCACCUGGGCUCUGCAUGUUUCUGGGCAGAGUUAACCAACUUUAGCAUAGAUGGCUAGGACCCACAACUGGCCAUAAUAUGAUACGGAUAACUGUAUAUUCCUGUUCCUGAUUUUAGCUUUUCCUUGAGUAAGUUUCUUGGUUCUAAACUAACCAGAGCAUGACAUUCAAUGGAAAUUCUCAAGAAUACAAUUCUGCUCAAGAUGAUCUCAUUUCAAAAUAUUAUCACCACUUGCAGAGAGUUGAUGGGUGGGAGAGAGUGGGGAGCUUGCUUUAUUAGAAACUAGACCUGACCCACCUUGAACUAUGACAAGUGAAGCCUGGCUGAGUGUCUGUCAAUUGGAGUCCAACCAAUCCCUGUGCUGCAGAGCCCCUAUCUGGCAGACACUGUCAGCCUCAUAGGACAUCUAAGAUGUGUCUCUUCCUACAACACAGAGGCCAGCUGCCUUACUUUCUGUCUUCUGUCUCAUAAAGCUAUUUUUGUUCUCAGCUGGUAGAACUCAGUGACUUUCAGUUUCCCUAAAAAUUCCACUCACACAAAAGAAUUUGUAAACUAGAUGGAUUUGCCUGAAGCUGUCCUGGAGGAGGGAAGAGGUUUUUAUCAUAUACCUUACACCAAAGAGCUUUGAAAGCUCUCCUGGAUAUUUCUGUUUUCCCAAGUUUUUGACUUCCUCUAACUUUAAAUUCACACCCUGCUGCCUCCACUCCACCCCAGCUACCCUUUCCCAGACCCCAGGCUCCUAUCUCUUCCUCGAUCCCAUCUUAUCUUAUACAUAACAGCUUAGCAGCCAUCUCUUUUUAGGUAAUUUGAACAUGUUCUUGGAGAGUUCAACCCCCAAAUCAAAAGAUGUCCUUUUAUCCCAUUAUAACCCCAAACUAUUUUGCUGAUGUUUUCUUCCAUUUCUGAGUCUUUGUGCUCACCAAUAUUCAGACCUAUGUUCUGAACAACAUCAUCUUUAUCUUUUCCCAGAAUCCUGCCCUUUGAGGCAAUCAAUAUCUCUGACAAUUGUUAAGGCUAUUUGGAGUGCAAUCUUGCACAAUAAUAAAAACAGCCACUAUGCAUUGAGCAUUCGCUGUGUGCUAGGCACUCUGCUAAUCACUUGUACUAUAUCAUGUUUUGUAAUCUGCAUAACAGCUGUAGGAAUGUAGCUAUUAUCACUCCACUCUGUAGCUGAAGGAGCUGGGGUCAUAUCGGUAAUAAGACACAGAGCCUACUGUGGCCUAAGCGUGCUGUUACUGGAAAGAUAAGAAUCAAAGGUACAUGCCCUUCUGUCCAGAAGAGUCCUCUCACCCCUAGGAGGCCAGGAAACAUCACUCCCUGCCCUGAUAUUCAGGGAACAGGAAAAAGGCAGGAAAGAGGCCUUUGCUCCUGGGUUCUAUGUAGUGAAGCAAAUUUCUUAUUUUUUGAGCCAGGUUGCUUUCUUUUUUAAUCAUAGACUAGGGGUACUGUGUGUUCCAUGAACAAUCAUCUUACUGACAUGUUAUUCUGAAGCUUGACUUCAUUCACCGUGACACAUGCUGGUUAUGAAAUACGCAACGGAAUAGAGUUGUAAUGAAGUGAGGCUGGGGAAGGAUUAAAUUAGAAUCUGAACUAAUGCCAGCUAAGAGACCCUACCUCCACUUUAUUAUUAUUAUUGUGUUUAAUAAACAAUCAUUCAUGCUCCGAGGAAAGGGAAACAAUCAGAAACCCAGCAGGGGAGCCAUAAAAUAAAUGUUUAAACCUUGAAUAAAAACAUGUUUGUUCAAACCCAGAGCCGGUCUCUUUUUAUUCAAAAUGAAUGCAGUGAGUUCUCCAACACCUAGAGGUGUUGAGAGGCAUGCAAGUGGAAUUUCAGUUGCAGGGAGGGCUCACCUUUCCCAUCCUCC